GGCCUGAUGGUCUAGUAGUAUGAUUCCUUGUUAGGGCUUCAAAAGUCGUAUCGAGGAGGUCCCGGGUUCAAUUCCCGGUCAGGCCC